CCUACGGGAGGCAGCAGUAGGGAAUCUUCGGCAAUGGACGAAAGUCUGACCGAGCAACGCCGCGUGAGUGAAGACGGUUUUCGGAUCGUAAAACUCUGUUGGUCGAGACGAACGUUGGUGAGAGUGGAAAGCUCAUCAAGUGACGGUAACUACACAGAAAGGGACGGCUAACUACGUGCCAGCAGCCGCGGUAAUACGUAGGUCCCGAGCGUUGUCCGGAUUUAUUGGGCGUAAAGCGAGCGCAGGUGGUUUAUUAAGUCUGGUGUAAAAGGCAGUGGCUCAACCAUUGUAUGCAUUGGAAACUGGUAGACUGGAGUGCAGGAGAGGAGAGUGGAAUUCCAUGUGUAGCGGUGAAAUGCGUAGAUAUAUGGAGGAACACCGGUGGCGAAAGCGGCUCUCUGGCCUGUAACUGACACUGAGGCUCGAAAGCGGGGGGAGCAAACAGGAUUAGAUACCCCUGUAGUC
rnacentral:rRNA from 1 species